AUACACUUAACAUAAUGUUAUUUGAGCUAUACAUGUAAAAAAAAAUGGAAGAUCAACCAAAUAUUACAGAUGUACAUGCUGAAAUAUGACUAUAUGAAUAACAUGCUAAACAUUCAUUUAUUCUAGUAAAACACAUCAAGCGUAUCCAUAGAGCUGAAAAAGAGCCAUAUCCUCAUCCAUUGAAUAUAAAAAUCUGCAUUGCAAAGUUUAAGAAAAUACACAGCAGUGAAGAAAUAGAGCUCAGCACGAAAAAAAAUAGCAGCAAACACAAGCAGAAAACAAUAGCAGUUUCGUUUUUAAACAGCCCGAAAACCUUAGAAGAAACCCAGAACCAGCUCUAAAGAAGAUUUAUACUUUUCUAAAGGUUUGCACUCUAAAAUUUACUCACAAAGCUCACCAUUUCAGCUUACUAAAGGGUGCUUUAGUUGUUAAUUUUUUACUCUCCAAGUUGUAUUUUUAGGGUAUAAAGACUGCCCAACAAAUGUGUGAUCCUCGUCCUCAAGUGAGGAAAUAAAAGCCCCUUAAAUAGGCAAAUAAAGUCCCUUUUUUGGGACAGAUUUUGGUUCACCAAAAAUCUAUCCAAAAGACUGACUUUGUGUGCUAAACACUGUUCAAGAUCUGUCUCAAAGAUGAAAGGACAGCCUGAAAAUCUGCUAUGUCAGAAGUAAGAAGAAAAAAUAUCAUUUCAGCCACCCUACUAGUAAAAGUAAGCUACUAUUACUCUAUUUUGUGAUAAAAUAAACUAAAUUUCAAAUUUUAACCAUCAACAACAAACUACUUACUCAACACAAAUCAAACUUGAACAACUAUGAACUGACAAAGCAUAGACGAGACUAAAAACGUAAUUUAACUAAGUAUUCAAACCAACUUGAUGGGAAUGAAUUCGAUUUAUGCAAACUAAUUACUAAACAAACAACUAAAUUCACAAACUAAUGCUCAAACAGAACGAGCAUCAUUAACAAUCGGACAACGACUAACAACAACUAAAUAAUCGACUAACUAAGUGAACGAUUUAACUAAUACACUAAAGAUCAUGUUUAAAUCAAUAACAAAUCUAACAAACCACUAAACNNNNNNNNNNNNNNNNNNNNNNNNNUGCUAGAACGAAAUGAGUUUCAGCAUCUCGCCAAAAGAAACGAGUGUCUUUGAGUCGAAAAAUAGCUAAGAUGGGGGUUCAGGGCAUUUUGGCGGUGGUGAGGCAGUGGAGCCGCGACGGCAGUGAGGAGCGGGCCGGCGGCGACGGGGAUUUUGGGGGUUAAAUGGGUAGGAAAAGAUAGGUCUCGUGGAGCUCUAUCCAUUCAUGUAUGUGUUGUAGGGUGGUGUUGGCCGGAGCUUCAAGAAUUUGGACCAAAAAGUGGCGGCUAAAGUUUUCAAGAUCUAAAAUUUAAGGAGUUUGAGGGGUUUUUGAAGGAAUUGGUUUGGAGAUAUGGGAAGAGGAGGUUGUGGAGAUUACAUGGUGUUAAUUUGGAGGUGGUACGCCGCCGAUGGGUGAUUUUCGACGGCGGCGGCGGCGGAGAGAAGAGAGAGAAGAGAGAGAGAGAAGAGAGAAAGAGUUAUGGGGGAAAUGAUGGAUUUUUUCAGAUUUUUGAGGCUUUAAAUACCUCUUGAGAGAUCAAAUAUGGACCAUUAGAUCAAGGGGUGAUCAAUGAGUGAGAUUUGAUCUUGGGUCAAUUAAUGAAACGACGUAGUUUUGAGGUAAAACUACGUCGUUUCAGUCCCUUUCAAGGGCAGCCCCUUAUCUUGCACUUUUGGCCACUUUCUUUUUCAAAUUUAGCCCAAUUUCUUUCUUAAUCCUACCUAUUAAACUAAAUUUAUAAAAAUAAAUAAAUUAAUUAAGUAACUUAUUCAAAUGAUCAAUUAACUAGAUUAAUUCAUCAAUUGAAUAGUUAGUUAAUUCUUAAAAUGCACAAAUAAAGAAAGAACUAUUUUUUGGUAUUUUUAUGAUAGGAAAUAUGCAAUCAGAGACAAAAAAAUUGGAAAAAAUAAUUAAAGCAACAAAAUAUUAAUGACUUUAGGAGGUGUUAAAACAAUGCAAAAAUUAGGUAUUCACAAUCGCAUUGGGUCUUGGGCAGUGGCGAAGCCAGAAAGUUUUUCAAGGGUAUUUAAACUUGAAAGAAAUCAAAAAUAAAUUCCGAUAAAGAGUGUUCAAUAUAUGUUAUAUAUAUCUAAAAUCUAAUAUUUUACCUAUAUUGUAAUUUUCUGACGAAGGGUGGUCGAUUGACCUUACAAGACUGUAGCUUCGACCAUGGUCUUGGGAAGGGCUGCACCCCAAGGGUGCGAUGUAGACAACGUAUCCUAACUCAAGUAUUGGUGGCUGCUUUCACAACUCGAACUCGUGAUUUAUAGGUCACAAAGAGAUAACUUUACCGCUUUUCCAAGAUACCCUGCUAAUAAAAGACAUAUCUGAUUCUGGUAAUUGUUACUACUGUUUAAGAGCAUACAUGCUUACAUCUUCACCAACUAACCUUAGCUGUGUUUGUUUGACACUUGAAAACCUCUGAUCAAAUGCUUAAAUUAAUACAAGCAAAGGACAAAAAUGAAAGUGACUAAUGUGUUG
rnacentral:lncRNA from 1 species